ACUGAAAACAAAGGAUCUCGCCUGCCUCCUACCCCUGGCGAUGCUCAGCCGCUGCCUCCACGCCCACAUGCCCGGCUGCCCGCGUCCGCUGCACCUCCGCACCCGACUGCCCUUGGAGCACUACGCCGCCGCAUAGCCUGCCCGCGUCCGCUGCACCACGGCUCCACGUCGCCAUCCAUCUGUCCUUGGAGCACUACGCCGCCGCCUCCAUGCCUUCCCGCGUCCGCUGCGCCGCCGUCUGCCUUCGUUUCCCUGCCCCACCCGUGAAUCGCAGCCAGCUGCGCCCAUGCCACCGCCAUCCUCCUCGCUGAUGAUGUCAUUCGCGGGUUCCUCUCCGCCUUUAGACUGACGGCGCCAUCUGAGAUCCGUUUUAGACAGAGAAAGGCAUAAAGCAACAAGAGUUCCGGAGGCGGCUGCUGGGGUCAUACAUUGUGCACAUGAUUCACGGAGUGCACAAUAGUUCCUUUCAAUAGUAUGAAAUUUUGAAAUUUCCGGACUACUUUUCGUACAGUUCUGAUGAUAUUUUAUCUUUUUUAUAAAUGGCAAACUGAGAUUAUGCAAGCCGAUGAUAUUAGUGGUUACCUUAAAGGGAAAGUAUUGCAGAGUUGUCACUGGUUUAAUAGAUACAGACUUGAUGCUGCUGAUAUCUGGAGAUGUUCAUUUUGUAAUGGUCAUUCAUGAGAUUGGUCGAUUGUCCUUUUAUACAAUUAGGUAUUAUGUUCUACAAGACAAGUGCAAUCCAAGGGCAGAUUUAAUUAAGCCUCAGAGAGUGUAUAUAUGGUAAUUAUCUCAUUUGCACCGGUGCCGUUGUCGACCAUAUGCAUGGGUAAGCCGUGGUUGCCUCGGAGUCUACUACUUAUUGUAUAUAAUGACUCAGGUUUCAGGCUUAUAGCAUCAUUUAGUUUCAUGCAUAAUCCAGUUUUGAGGUUUUUAUAUAACAAUUAUGCCUUAUUGUCGAUUUCAUUUAUUCAUUUCAACACUUAAACAAUAAGAGCAUUAGAUAUGUACUGAAUACAAAGUCUUUCACCUAAUUUUAUCAGCCCCAUUGAGUUUUAAAAAGUCCUUACUGAUAUCUUCCUACUUUGCAAGAUUAGAUGUAGUUGGUUUUUAUUCCUAUCGUCAGGAAGUUCAUGAAUGCCAUGAGCUUGUAUAUAUCUUUUUUCACCAUGAAUCUUAUCUCUUGUAGGCGCAUGAUAGUGGUAAUAAUUUAUCCAAGAUGCCUAAAUAUGGUUUAUGUAAAAUAAUAAUGAAAAUCUUUGAUAUUUAUAUGCCACUUCCGACAUGAUGUUUAGCUUAACGGAGAUGGUAAAAAAUGGCUGAGUUUGUCUCAUCUGUUCUCGAAAGUUUGUACUCAAAUUAGGUCAAAAUUCUUUUACUCAUGGUUCAUCCUUGCAUGACCAAUCAUGUUGUGUGUGACCACUUUGAGUAAGAAUUCCUCAUAUAAGCUUAUCAAUCAUUGCUCAGAAGCAUUACACAACACAUGAUCAAAUACUUCAAACAAAAAUAGAUAGGUCGGUCCCAAAGCUAUGAGCGAAUGAUAUGCGAGUUAAUAUAUCAGAUUUUUUUUUUCAAAUUGUUGAUAGCACCUUUUGUUAUAAGAUUGAAUAGAUUGUUUGUUUAGUUAGUUUUGAGACAUCGAUUAAUGAAGGUACAUAUUUAAGUUCUUAGAAAGUAGUUCAUAAGUUGGUUGUCGUAAAAUUGAUGUCUACAUCAUACAUUUUGUGGUACUUAAAAAAGGAUAGUUCUUAAAUUUAUAUGAAUUGUUGCUACAUGGAUAUGUAUUUUCAUAUGAAACCGCUGGUAGUAAUUUCGAGAUGCCCAUUUUAUCUGUCUGAGAUUUUAUUGGCUGCCACGUAAGCGUUCACAAUGAUGCUAUUUUACCUGAAAUCAGAAGUUGAACCUAUACCCGCGUUUAUCAUGGUUUAAAUAUGAGCUUCCUUUUCCUGCUGUUAAUAAAGGUUGUUGCAUGCUACAGUACGGUGGUUUUAAUGAUCUGUACCUUUCUUUGGCACUUUUCAGAUGCAGAUGCCUUUGAUUGUUGUUGUGUUUACAUUUCAGGUUAAGACGGAGCAAGCAUUCCUCGGUUGCAGAUUUUAGAAUGUAAAGUUAAUAUGUUUCUUCUUUACAAUACAUGAUUUUAAUUGAUGAAUUUUUUUUCCUCUUGGGCCUAUCCAAUUUUGUCCAGUACUUGUUU